rnacentral:rRNA from 1 species
UGUGUAGGCGGUUGCUUAAGUUUGGUGUGAAAUCUCCCGGCUCAACUGGGAGGGUGCGCCGAAUACUGAGUGACUCGAGUGCGGGAGAGGAGAGUGGAAUUCCUGGUGUAGCGGUGAAAUGCGUAGAUAUCAGGAGGAACACCGGUGGUGUAGACGGCUCUCUGGACCGUAACUGACGCUGAGACACGAAAGCGUGGGUAGCAAACAGGAUUAGAUACCCUGGUAGUCCACGCCCUAAACGAUGCAUAUUUGGUGUGGGCAGUUCAUUCUGUCCGUGCCGGAGCUAACGCGUUAAAUAUGCCGCCUGGGGAGUACAGUCGCAAGGCUGAA